GGGCGUAUAGCUCAGCGGUAGAGCUCUGGUUUUACACACCAGCGGUCGGGGGUUCGAACCCCUCUGCGCCCACCA
rnacentral:tRNA from 49 species